GACGAACGCUGGCGGCGUGCUUAACACAUGCAAGUCGAACGGAAAGGCCUGCUUUCCCUUGUGGAUUGCGGGUACUCGAGUGGCGAACGGGUGAGUAACACGUGAGUGAUCUGCCCCCAACUUGGGUAUAAGCCUGGGAAACUGGGUCUAAUUCCCGAUAGGACUGCAGGGUGGUGCCUGUGGUGGAAAACGAUUUUCUAGUGGUUGGGGAUGAGCUCGCGGCCUAUCAGCUUGUUGGUGGGGUAAUGGCCUACCAAGGCGGCGACGGGUAGCCGGCCUGGGAGGGUGGACGGCCAAAGUGGGACUGAGAUACGGCACAGAAUCCUACGGGAGGCAGCAGUGGGGAAUAUUGCACAAUGGGAGGAAGCCUGAUGCAGCGACGCCGCGUGGGGGAUGACGGCCUUCGGGUUGUAAACUCCUUUCGACCGCGAGGAAGCCACAUGGUUGGAAGGGUGGUGACGGUAGUGGUAGAAGAAGCACCGGCUAACUACGUG
rnacentral:rRNA from 1 species